rnacentral:rRNA from 1 species
UGGGGAAUUUUGGACAAUGGGGGCAACCCUGAUCCAGCCAUGCCGCGUGUGUGAAGAAGGCCUUCGGGUUGUAAAGCACUUUCGGACGGAACGAAAUCGCGCGGGUGAAUAUCCCGCGUGGAUGACGGUACCGUAAGAAGAAGCACCGGCUAACUACGUGCCAGCAGCCGCGGUAAUACGUAGGGUGCGAGCGUUAAUCGGAAUUACUGGGCGUAAAGUGUGCGCAGGCGGCCGCGCAAGUCGAGUGUGAAAUCCCCGGGCUUAACUUGGGAAUUGCGCUCGAAACUAGGUGGCUGGAGUGUGGCAGAGGAAGGUGGAAUUCCACGUGUAGCGGUGAAAUGCGUAGAGAUGUGGAGGAACACCAAUGGCGAAGGCAGCCUUCUGGGCCAACACUGACGCUCAUGCACGAAAGCGUGGGGAGCAAACAGG